AGGUAACAAAAACAGAUUAUGUUCAAUCCCUAAAUGAAAAGCUAAUCGACUAGGUAUAACACACUUAUUCCAUAAGUGAAGGGUAAAUUCUAGAAAGAAGAAAGAGCUAAGAAGCACAUAAAUAAGGCAUAAGAAAUAUAACACCAGCCAAUCAUGUAAUCGAAUCUAUAAGAACAUAUAAAUCACCCAAAUACUAACGCUUUAAUUCAAGUUUUAUUCCUUCAUCUUUCCUUUGCAAUUAAUUACCAACGCUGUUUGAUUUAUUUUUAUUAUGAGUUCUAGCUAAAUUUCUAUAUUCCGGCAUUGAUUAGGGAAGCACUAGCGAAAUUAUUCUGUGAGAUCUAAUUGUUCUUAUACUUUAUUUUUAUGCUUGCAUCUGCGAUUCUUCAUGUUUAAUGAUAUUAAUUGUUUUAAUCCAUUAGAUAGUUGCAAAUAUUUAUUGGGUUAGAAUUAAUUAUAUAGCCAAUUGAACCGGCCAUCCGUAAUUGUGGUUUAGGUUUGAUUAGUGGUAAAUUGACACAUCAGGGUCAAGGGAAAAGCAGUCUUAAUUCAAUAAUCCUGCGUCAGAGUUUAUUGGUUUUGAAUCGGGUUUCUCUAGAUAUUAAUGCUAUCGGCUCAUUAAAUCUAUAGAGCGUCUCUUACGGUUGUCAGUCGAUUAGGGUAGUAAUUAGUGAAGCGUCUUCCUGGUUACCGAAUAAUUAAGGAGAAAUAAGAUCACGUCAGAAGCGUCUUCGGUGAUUAUAACUGGUUUGUUUGCAUGAUUUAAAGUUAUUUUUGCAUCGAUGAUCGGAAUAAUUGAGCUAGGGUGGACUUAAUUGAUUGCUGGAAUUCUUUUAUUAAUUGUUGGAAUUUUUAUUCAUCUUUUGGUUAAUUGGAAAAAUUGGUUUAUUCGGAUUUUAUUUAUUUAAUUUUAAGUUUAGUAAUUUCUAUAUNAAAAAAAAAAUUCAUGAACAUGAUUUUGCAGAAGACGCAUGAAGUAUCAAAAUAAUUGAAAAAAAAAAAAAACAAAGUUCAAUGUCAUCUUCGAUUUCAAGCGUGCGUGAAGACGACUCAACAACUAGAGUUUGAAUGUUCCAUAGGUUGGAUUCUGUCGCAGGUACAAUCUUGAAGUUGCAAGAAAGUGCUAUAUACCUCAAAUGGACCAGUUGAGUGAGAUCAGUAGAGAAACGCUUGAAAUUGAAGCUGCAAGGAUAGAUGAAAUGUGCUCUGCCGGUAAAAUAGUCUCCUCAGACGAGUAGCACAAGAACGAACAGACUUGUGUACCAUUUGGCCUCAAGGAGAUAUAGUUCAAGAUGCAGGAAUGAAUGGAAAGGCAAAGUUACCUCUCUGAGGCCGGAUUCAAAGAUGCAUACAUGCCUUGAUCAAAACGCCUUAUUUCUUGGAAGAAAUUCUCUUCUAAUGCUUCUUUUUUGCAAAACUUGAAAAGCAUGUUCAAAAGAUAGACAAUACUAAUUCAAUCCUAUUCAUACGUGUACUCUACAAACAAAUUAGAACAUAUUCACUAUUAUUUAAAAAAAAAGGAAUACAUAGUAAGAAGCAAUCAUUAGUACAUAAGAACACAAUAGAAACUGCAAGAAACAUCUUCAGAAUAUAAUACAAGAAACAAUGAUUAAAUACUUCCAAUAGUGGCAAAAUUACAAAAGCAAGACCUCACAAUGAGGGAAGAAAUCCUUGUAGCAGAAUUAAAACUCUAUUAACCAAGAGAUUCAGAACUGCAUAAUUCAUGUGCCUUAAGAUUAGGGAACCUCUUAUGUGAUCACAUUAGAGGUCAUAGACAUUGAAGCAGCUCUGUCGUUCAAGUUCGAUAUUUCUUUCUUGAAAUCUUUAGCCAAGUCCCGAUUGAUAUUGGUACACUCCAUCUCACUUCCCUCUAAUUAAAAUUAUGGAAUAACACUUAUGACCGCAUCCCCGAAGACAUAUUGAAGUUUAUGGAGAUUCCCCAUGAACAUUUAAACACGUGGAGAAAUCCAUAAACACGAUUAAAAAAAAAUGAUUUCGAUUAAAAGUACGGACUUCUUUGUUCUCCCACACGCCUAAAAUCCGAUAAUAAGAACUUCAUGGAAUAUACCCUAUUUAUUGGAAAAUAAACCCAGAAAAAGCAAAUGUACCGUGAUAUCUCUGAAUCCAAAAAACCCAGAUGGUAACUGCAAACAUUAUAAUCAACAUAAGAUCCGCUAAAAAAAAUACAUACCAAGUGUGAAGAUUCUCAAUUAGAAGCUAUAUUAAGCGUGUGGCUUUCAAAGAAAAACAUGAUUAUGAAAUCACAAAUACAUAUUAAGACAUAGUUUAGCAAAUAUCCACUUAAACAUCUACAUUUUCAGUAACAAAAACAGAUUAUGUUCAAUCCCUAAAUGAAAAGCUAAUCGACUAGGUAUAACACACUUAUUCCAUAAGUGAAGGGUAAAUUCUAGAAAGAAGAAAGAGCUAAGAAGCACAUAAAUAAGGACAUAAGAAAAAUAACACCAGCCAAUCAUGUAAUCGAAUCUAUAAGAACAUAUAAAUCACCCAAAUACUAACGCUUUAACUCAUUAUUUCUCGCAGACAACGCCAAUUGGUGUUAACUACCAACGCUCAACUUUAAUAUUUAUAAAUUAAGAAACGUAGAUGACCUAUGUGCAGUAAACUUCAUAAAAAUCCUCAAGAAUUGUUGAAAGAGAGUAUUUUUU
rnacentral:lncRNA from 1 species